rnacentral:lncRNA from 1 species
GAGGAUUAUGGAAACUACAGUACAAGAUGAGAUUUGGGUAGGAACAGAGCCAAACCAUGUCAAAUCAAUGGAUACCCACAACCCAAUCCAGGCAGAACUGCUAGUGGACGAAUGCUUCAGGCAUGAAAGUUUGGUUCAAUUCACCAGGCAAAGAACCAUGACUAGCAGCACUGCUUGCUGAGGGCAAAGGGAAUAUCAAAAGAGUACAGGAAGAAAGUAGUUAUAAAUACCAGCUACAAGAGCAUGACCAGUUACAGAAACAAGGAUUUAAGUUACAGGAUAUCAAAGGAGGAGAGUGAACAUCAUCCAAGGAUUUGGAGUCCUCUUCUGGGAAAAAGGUCAACAAAGAGUUCUUGAGCAUCUGCCAGACCAAGUACAGUUCUAGACAUCAAAGAACCUACAAUGAAUAAAGCAAGUCUCUUUCUUCAGGAAAAUUACAGCAUAAUGUUGUUGCAAUUAAGUUUUUUUCAUGCAUGUAAAACCCUCGUGCAUACAUUUGGCUGAUACAUACUGAACUCUAAAAACACAUUACUACCCAUUUUAGUAAUUAACAUUUGGCAUUCGCCUUGCCUAUGAGAGUUUAGAAGUAAAAGAACUUAUUUUCAGCUCUUAGGCCCUGAUUAUCUCUGGGGGAUCACAAGGACUACUAACUAAAAAAAAUGAGGAGUGGGAGAGUGGAGGGAAGCACAGUAUGGGUGAUUAAUAACAAUUUUGCUAGAGCUCUGUGAAAAGCUGCAUAGAAAGGGUAUUUUAUAUUUGAUGUUUGAGCAGAAUGUGAGGAACAAGAUUUGACAACUAGAUAAGAAUGGAAGGAGUAAUCUGGGCAGAAGGAACAGUAUGAGCACAAGCUGAGAGGUGUGAAGCUUCAUGGCAUGCAUGGAAAACAGCAGCAAAACAGUCUGACAGGAGUAGAAAGCACCAGAGAUGGCAUAGGCAAGGCAAAUUAUGGCAUAUUAUAAACAGCUUCAAGUGCGAUGAUAAGUCAGAAGCUGGAAAUCAUCCUAAAUAUAAUGCAGAAAAAUAUGAAGGUUUUAAAUCAGGAAAUGAGAGAAUCAGGUGUGCACUCUAGAAAUUUAACAGUUAGAAGUACAGAUUGGAGUGUGCAAGCCUGGAGAUGAGCAUGUACAUUAUGAUUUUAGGUAAUAGUUUAGGUAACAUAUAAAGAAGUAGCACAGUGAGGUGAAAGGGUAGAUAGAUUACAAAAUCAUUUCAAAGGAGGAGAAAAAAGAGAUUUGGUGAAAAGAAGUAGAUAAAGAAGAGACUGAGGAAAGCAAAUCUUUCCAAAUCACCUUUUAAUUAUCCUUUUGGAGGUGAUAUUAAAUAUUGAAGGGGUCAAUAGUCCAGAAGGACAGAGAGAGAGAGAAAGGUAGGAAGAAAGAGAGAGAAAGAGCAGAGGUUGAGGGGAGGGAAAAGAUGUUUGGAGAUAGAUGGAUGUGAUGCCAGUAAUUUGGAAAUUAAUAAAUAAAUAUAUAUAUAUAUACACAUAUAUAUUACUAUAUAUGCAUAACAUUUGUCAUCAUUUUGAGAAUGUCUG